rnacentral:lncRNA from 1 species
UGAUGUAAGGGCGAAUGCCUUUUUAUUUUUAAUCUGAACUGAACCUUUCCACAGGUGCUGGCUACCCCAGAGCUCACCAUAGCAUUUUCCUCUCAAGCACCCAGGGCUCCACAAUGAUGGCAGGCACCAAGAUCUGAAGAAGACUCCCUGUAGCAUCUCAUUUGCACUUCAUCCUCCGUGGCUUCCCUAGCUUCAGCUAGCUUACAGAACUGUUUGCUUUACCUAACCCAAGCUGGAGUGGCAACUGGGUCUCAGACUGUUGUCCUUGACGCUGAUAUGGGACUAUAAGACACUGCCUUUUUGGAAACUGUCUUUCAUGGAUUUGCAGUGAAACUUGGUCACAGAAUUCUGGCCCAAUGCCUGUCAAGGGUGUGGGAGUUGGAGUCAGCCAGGCCCAUGGAACCUUCCACAGCCCUCUUAUCUGUUAGUAGAAGGUGGGAGUAACCACACUGAGAACUGAAGGCCAUUAAGCUUGCAAAAGAGCCUCCAGAUGUUGCCAUGGAGCCAGCGCUUCUGACCUGGACCAGGCUUGGUCUAUGCAGGGGUUAGUUAACCAUUAAAAGGCUAAGGGUGCUGACUCAUGGAUUUAAUUUCUGGCUGGAGACAUUCAGUGCUUUAUAUCGCUCCCAACUAAUCCAGUGUCUAAAUGUUAACUGGAUGGAGGGCUUUGGGGGUGUGUCAAAUGAACACCAGAGAAUGCAAACCUGGGAGUAGAGACCAGUGCACCUGACAUUCAGGGUUUAGAGCAGGUUCAAGAGGAUGAGCAAUGCAUAGCUUUCAAAAAGGUGUGAGACCAUUAGUGAUGUGUGAGUUGUUUUUUUUUCUAUCAACUUGGAUAAGAUAAGAAAGGGGAGCUGUGGUUUGUGCCUUCCUGACCUGGAAGAAUUUUCCAGACUUCAGCGGAUGACCUCACAGCAGUGGCUUCAUGGACCUUCAGCUCUCAGCACACACAUGCUGUGUUGUAACCUCCCAUCUGAUGUCAGAGUUUGUCUGAAUGGCCAUUGUAGUAUUAUAGAAAUGAUAUAUCACCUCUGAGAUUUUGGUCAUAAAAGACACCAUGGAGGCUGUGGUGUGCUCAGCAGUUAUGAGCUCUGCUGUUCUUCCAGAGGACCUGUGUUACGUGGCUCACAAUGUCCUGUAAUUCCAGCUCCAAGGGAUCUAAUGUUCUCUUCUGGGCUCAGUGGGCACUGCAUUUACAUGCAUAAAUCCAAAAGACACACACACAUAAUUUUUAAAUAAAACUCUAAAAAACAGACA